rnacentral:lncRNA from 1 species
AAUGAUUUUUAUUGUAUAUAUAGAGAGAGAGAGAGAGAGAGAGAGAGAGAGUGUGUGUGUGUCCGGCUACUAUACUCUUAUGAGUAUAUACCUGUCACGCCCCCCGCCCCGAGACCGCUACCAAUUUGGUACGGUUCGGGCGCGGCGAACGGACGCCGAAUGGAUAGCACCUUCCCUGUCCGCCCAAGGCUAAACGACGAGAUUGCCUACAACAUGUUCCGAGGAAAAUAACUUGAAUACAUACACAAUCAUACAACAAUUAGCGAGAGCACAAACAGUGCUGAACAAUGCGAGAGCAAGCAUUACGAGUAAUACAACCAUACAAGUGGAUAAAAGAGAGAGACUUACUAUUCUAUUACAUUCAUUCAACUUUAUACAUUUAAUUACAUUUGGACUUCCAAAACAUGAGUACAACUCGUCCAUCACAUAUAAAUACAUACAUGGAUACAUCUCUCGAGUACCUCACCACCUACACAUCAUCUACUCUCAAAAUGAGUACAGGGUAACUCUAAUGCAAAGUAGGAAAGUAAACUACUACAACCUCUAGAGCGCUACGCCCUUACCGCGAUCCUCACCGGGGGCGCUCGAGCUCGGACCUGCAACAAGGUGGGGUGAGAACUACGAAUAGUUCUCAGUGGGUUCGGCCGCCGACUCCGCCGAUCUCCCCACUAGGUCUAAGCAGGCACAGAUAGAUAUACAGAUAGAUAGAUAUGAAACGACAGUAGCAUGAUAAGGAAAUAGAAAGUAAUCUACUAUGUCUCAAUCUGAUAUAAUGAAUGCAUGAAACUCAUAGAAAAAGGCUAGCUACCAUACUACUAUGUUCAACAAUGAAGCUAUUCAUUAGAUCACCCAAUCUCUCGGCUAAACCGAGGCUCUCUCUCAGUCUCACGCGUAUAAGUCUCCUAGGGGAGGAGGCCAACUACUCAACUACCCCCGAGACCGCCUGUGGACAGCUAGCGGCUGUCCGNUCAUUAGAUCACCCAAUCUCUCGGCUAAACCCAGGCUCUCUCUCUGUCUCACGCGUGUAAGUCUCCUAGGGAAGGAGGUCAACUACUCAACUACCACCGACACCGCCUGUGGACAGCUAGCGGCUGUCCGGGCAGCUAGCGGCUACCCCUCAAGUGACAAAUACUCCGGAGUGCACAACUUGUGUGGAGCUACCACUACAAGUGCAGACAGGCUACGUGAGCUCGAUCCAAUCUCAUGAACUGGGAACAUCCUACCAACUAAGGUUGGUGUUAUCAUGGAAUCAAAGUAUUCUAAUACUUAAUCUCAUAGUGUUCUGACUACACUAAGAUUCUCAUGUUUAUGUCAAUUAGAUGCCCACUCGUUUUGUGUUUAUUGUUAACUAGAUGCCACUCGUUCUCUUGACAGGUUCUCAAUACACUAGUUUACACUUUACUAGGUUCUCAUCCACAUAAGCAUGUUCAUUCCUUAUCAACUAUUCUUUCAUUAUAGGGUCUCAAGUCAUUUGACACUAUCUCAUGCAUACUAGAUUUAGGUGUUAAACAACUCAACUCUACACUACUCUACUAGCGUGCAAGAAUAUAUAACAAUUACAUUUAGCACCCUAUAAUGCAAUAUUAUAAUAUGCAAUUUGAUCGACUUGACAAACUUAGACAUAGGGAGCAGUUCAACUGCUUUGGGAUGGACACCCCCCACCUUUUGGUAGUGCCGUGAAGCUAGCAAACUCGACGUCACGAUCCUCGUACGUCGUUUCAACUUCUCGGGUCAAUACGAACCCUCAAGUACUUGUUUCGGCGAUAACUUCGCACUUGCUCGACGGAUCGACGAACCGUCUUCGCCAACGCGUUUAGAGACCUAGCAAUUAGGUUUCCGACCUAUCAAAAGAGAUCAAAACCUUAGAUUUCCAAAAACCCCAAAUCGGAGCCCUAGGAUUGCAAUAAUGGAAAAAUCCAUGGUUCAAGCUUCGGAUUUGAGCUAGAACCAUCUAUUUAGCUCCAAUAGGUUCUAUUCGAACCACUUCUAAACAAUAAAACCCUAUCACAAGAAAUCUACCAUUGUAGGGUUCAAAGCUUACCUCUCUAAGCUUGCUCUAGGCUCAAGAAAGAAGAUGAGGAAGAUGAUCUCUUUCUUUGUCUUCUUUCUUUUCUACUUCUUCUCCUCUUUCUUCUUCUUCUUCUUCUUCUUUCUAGAGAGAGAGAGGGAGAGUGUGAGGGUGUGGGAGAGGGAAAAUGAGAGUGUGUGAGUGAGAGGAGGGAUCCCGCAAGCCUCUCAUAUAGGCAUUUUUGCAAAUAAGCCCCUCAACUUUCCUUUUAUGAAGCAGCCCUUACUGGGCAAUUUCGGGCUACGGGGACCGGUCCCUCGAAGGGGAGGACCGGUCCCCCGAGAGCUGUCCAAAAAAUACGCGUACGAGAACCGGUCCCCACCCUUAGGGACCGGUCCCCGAGAGCUUUCUCCGAAAAUAGGGGCUACGGGAACCGGUCUCUCCUAGAGGGACCGGUCCCCGAGAGCAUGAAAUCUGCUCCUUGAGCGGAUUUCAAACCAAGCUCUCGCGGGUCCGUCCUCAAUGCACUUUUUUGAUGUUCUCGGACUUUCCGAAGCACACCAACUCGACAACUAGUCGAUUUUAAACGAAGUCUAAUCCCCGAAUUUCGAGAAUUCACUUCCCUUACAAUACCCCUCUAUACUCAUAAGUUUUCGACCGUUAGAUCUACCCCUUUUAUCAUUUCCAUCCGUCAGAUCAAACUAUUCAACCAACUACCCACUUAACUCUAAAAGACCGCUAUCAUUCUAACAGGAAACCACUAUCAUCUUAGCCGCACAUCUCUUCAUCCAAUGACUGAAAAUUUAUGAGUACAAAGGGGUCUAUACUCAUAAGAGUAUAGUAACCCUAGCCUAUAUAUAUGAGUCUGGCUACUAUACUCUUUUAUGAGUAUACACCCAUUUAUAAUUAUAAGUUUUCGACCGUUAGAUCUACCCCUUUGAUCAUUUCCAUCCGUCAGAUCAAACUAUUCAACCAACUACCCACUCAACCCUAAAGGACUGCUAUCAUUCUAAUCGGAAACCACUAUUAUUCUAGCCACACAUCUCUUCAUCCAACGACUAAAAAAUUAUGAGUACAAAGAGAUCUAUACUCAUAAAAAUAUAGUAGCCCUAGCCUAUAUAUAUGAUUCCGGCUACUAUAC